AUGAACGCUAGCUACAGGCUUAACACAUGCAAGUCGAGGGGCAGCAUGAACUUAGCUUGCUAAGUUUGAUGGCGACCGGCGCACGGGUGAGUAACACGUAUCCAACCUGCCGAUGACUCGGGGAUAGCCUUUCGAAAGAAAGAUUAAUACCCGAUGGCAUAGUUCUUCCGCAUGGUAGAACUAUUAAAGAAUUUCGGUCAUCGAUGGGGAUGCGUUCCAUUAGGUUGUUGGCGGGGUAACGGCCCACCAAGCCUUCGAUGGAUAGGGGUUCUGAGAGGAAGGUCCCCCACAUUGGAACUGAGACACGGUCCAAACUCCUACGGGAGGCAGCAGUGAGGAAUAUUGGUCAAUGGACGAGAGUCUGAACCAGCCAAGUAGCGUGAAGGAUGACUGCCCUAUGGGUUGUAAACUUCUUUUAUACGGGAAUAAAGUGAGGCACGUGUGCCUUUUUGUAUGUACCGUAUGAAUAAGGAUCGGCUAACUCCGUGCCAGCAGCCGCGGUAAUACGGAGGAUCCGAGCGUUAUCCGGAUUUAUUGGGUUUAAAGGGAGCGUAGGCGGACGCUUAAGUCAGUUGUGAAAGUUUGCGGCUCAACCGUAAAAUUGCAGUUGAUACUGGGUGUCUUGAGUACAGUAGAGGCAGGCGGAAUUCGUGGUGUAGCGGUGAAAUGCUUAGAUAUCACGAAGAACUCCGAUUGCGAAGGCAGCCUGCUGGACUGUAACUGACGCUGAUGCUCGAAAGUGUGGGUAUCAAACAGGAUUAGAUACCCUGGUAGUCCACGCCGUAAACGAUGAGUGCUAGGUGUUGGAUCCUUUCCGGGAUUCAGUGCCGCAGCUAACGCAUUAAGCACUCCGCCUGGGGAGUACGACCGCAAGGUUGAAACUCAAAGGAAUUGACGGGGGCCCGCACAAGCGGAGGAACAUGUGGUUUAAUUCGAUGAUACGCGAGGAACCUUACCCGGGCUUGAAUUGCAACUGAAUGAUGUGGAGACAUGUCAGCCGCAAGGCAGUUGUGAAGGUGCUGCAUGGUUGUCGUCAGCUCGUGCCGUGAGGUGUCGGCUUAAGUGCCAUAACGAGCGCAACCCUUAUCGAUAGUUACCAUCAGGUUAUGCUGGGGACUCUGUCGAGACUGCCGUCGUAAGAUGUGAGGAAGGUGGGGAUGACGUCAAAUCAGCACGGCCCUUACGUCCGGGGCUACACACGUGUUACAAUGGGGGGUACAGAAGGCAGCUACACGGCGACGUGAUGCUAAUCCCGAAAGCCUCUCUCAGUUCGGAUUGGAGUCUGCAACCCGACUCCAUGAAGCUGGAUUCGCUAGUAAUCGCGCAUCAGCCACGGCGCGGUGAAUACGUUCCCGGGCCUUGUACACACCGCCCGUCAAGCCAUGAAAGCCGGGGGUACCUGAAGUGCGUAACCGCAAGGAGCGCCCUAGGGUAAAACUGGUGAUUGGGGCU
rnacentral:rRNA from 1 species